CCGAGAUUCCAGGGCGCCGCCGCAAGGCCGCGACCCUCACUCUCCCAACCCUUUGUUAAACGUACACGUUGCCUCGGGGGCCUCACCGCCCCCGAUGGACACACCACAAACACUGCAUCCCUGCGUCGGAGUAUUGAAACAAAUCAAUCA
rnacentral:misc_RNA from 1 species